rnacentral:rRNA from 1 species
UACGUAGGGUGCGAGCGUUAAUCGGAAUUACUGGGCGUAAAGCGUGCGCAGGCGGUUUUGUAAGUCAGAUGGGAAAUCCCCGGGCUUAACCUGGGAACUGCGUUUGAAACUACAAGGCUAGAGUGUGGCAGAGGGGGGUGGAAUUCCACGUGUAGCUGUGAAAUGCGUAGAGAUGUGGAGGAACACCGAUGGCGAAGGCAGCCCCCUGGGUUAACACUGACGCUCAGGCACGAAAGCGUGGGGAGCAAACAGG